ACAACGGCUCUUUUCAGAGCCACCCAUCUUUUCACAGUAAGAGCUGG
rfam:Chelonia mydas contig215282, whole genome shotgun sequence.